UACGGAAGGCAGCAGUGGGGAAUAUUGCACAAUGGGCGCAAGCCUGAUGCAGCCAUGCCGCGUGUAUGAAGAAGGCCUUCGGGUUGUAAAGUACUUUCAGCGGGGAGGAAGGCGAUGCGGUUAAUAACCGCGUCGAUUGACGUUACCCGCAGAAGAAGCACCGGCUAACUCCGUGCCAGCAGCCGCGGUAAUACGGAGGGUGCAAGCGUUAAUCGGAAUUACUGGGCGUAAAGCGCACGCAGGCGGUCUGUUAAGUCAGAUGUGAAAUCCCCGGGCUUAACCUGGGAACUGCAUUUUGAACUGGCAGGCUUGAGUCUUGUAGAGGGGGUAGAAUUCCAGGUGUAGCGGUGAAAUGCGUAGAGAUCUGGAGGAAUACCGGUGGCGAAGGCGGCCCCUGGGACAAAGACUGACGCUCAGGUGCGAAAGCGUGGGGAGCAAACAGGGAUUAGAUACC
rnacentral:rRNA from 1 species